GUGAGCCGUGUAAUAGGCGACCAUUUCGCGCGGUUCGGGGGGCACUUGAGUCAGCCGCCGGCGCAUAAGUGAGUAGGGGCUGCGUCUUGACCCCUAU
rfam:Lupinus angustifolius cultivar Tanjil chromosome LG17, whole genome shotgun sequence.